rnacentral:rRNA from 1 species
CCUACGGGUGGCUGCAGUGGGGGAUAUUGCACAAUGGAGGAAACUCUGAUGCAGCGACGCCGCGUGAAGGAAGAAGGCUUUCGGAUUGUAAACUUCUGUUGUCAGGGAAGAAUAAUGAAGGUUACUAAUGGAAAAGGCACGGCUAACUACGGGCCAGCAGCCGCGGGAAUACGUAGGUGGCAAGCGUUGUCCGGAAUUUCGGGGUGUAAAGGGGGCGGAGGCGGGAUGACAAGUCAGCUGUGAAAACCACGGGCUUAACCUGUAGACUGCAGUUGAAACUGGUUAUCUUGAGUUAAGUAGAGGUAGGCGGAAUUCCGAGUGUAGCGGUGAAAUGCGUAGAUAUUAGGAGGAACACCAGUGGCGAAGGCGGUCAGCUGGACUUUAACUGACGCUGAGGCGCGAAAGUGUGGGGAGCAAACAGGAUUAGAUACCCGGGUAGUC